rnacentral:rRNA from 1 species
AGUGAACGCUGGCGGUAGGCCUAACACAUGCAAGUCGAACGGCAGCACAGUAAGAGCUUGCUCUUACGGGUGGCGAGUGGCGGACGGGUGAGGAAUACAUCGGAAUCUACUUUUUCGUGGGGGAUAACGUAGGGAAACUUACGCUAAUACCGCAUACGACCUACGGGUGAAAGCAGGGGAUCUUCGGACCUUGCGCGAUUGAAUGAGCCGAUGUCGGAUUAGCUAGUUGGCGGGGUAAAGGCCCACCAAGGCGACGAUCCGUAGCUGGUCUGAGAGGAUGAUCAGCCACACUGGAACUGAGACACGGUCCAGACUCCUACGAGAGGCAGCAGUGGGGAAUAUUGGACAAUGGGCGCAAGCCUGAUCCAGCCAUACCGCGUGGGUGAAGAAGGCCUUCGGGUUGUAAAGCCCUUUUGUUGGGAAAGAAAAGCAGCAGGUUAAUACCCCGCUGUUCUGACGGUACCCAAAGAAGAAGCACCGGCUAACUUCGUG